rnacentral:rRNA from 1 species
UACGUAGGGGGCAAGCGUUGUCCGGAAUUAUUGGGCGUAAAGAGCGUGUAGGCGGCCAGAUAAGUCCGCUGUGAAAUCUCGAGGCUCAACUUCGAGCUGUCGGUGGAAACUAUCUGGCUAGAGUCCGGAAGAGGAGAAUGGAAUUCCUGGUGUAGCGGUGAAAUGCGCAGAUAUCAGGAGGAACACCAGUGGCGAAGGCGGCACUCUGGGCCGGUACUGACGCUGAGGAGCGAAAGCGUGGGGAGCGAACAGG